rnacentral:rRNA from 1 species
ACCAGACGAUGCGGUUACCGCGGCUGCUGGCACGGAGUUAGCCGGUGCUUCUUCUGCGAGUAACGUCACAGAUGUAAGGUAUUAACUUACACCCUUUCCUCCUCGCUGAAAGUGCUUUACAACCCGAAGGCCUUCUUCACACACGCGGCAUGGCUGCAUCAGGGUUUCCCCCAUUGUGCAAUAUUCCCCACUGCUGCCUCCCGUAGGAGUCUGGGCCGUGUCUCAGUCCCAGUGUGGCUGAUCAUCCUCUCAGACCAGCUAGGGAUCGUCGCCUAGGUGAGCCUUUACCUCACCUACUAGCUAAUCCCACCUGGGCUUAUCCAUCAGCGCAAGGCCCG